rnacentral:rRNA from 1 species
CCUACGGGCGGCAGCAGUCGAGAAUCAUUCACAAUGGGGGAAACCCUGAUGGUGCGACGCCGCGUGGGGGAAUGAAGGUCUUCGGAUUGUAAACCCCUGUCAUGUGGGAGCAAAUUAAAAAGAUAGUACCACAAGAGGAAGAGACGGCUAACUCUGUGCCAGCAGCCGCGGUAAUACAGAGGUCUCAAGCGUUGUUCGGAAUCACUGGGCGUAAAGCGUGCGUAGGCUGUUUCGUAAGUCGUGUGUGAAAGGCGCGGGCUCAACCCGCGGACGGCACAUGAUACUGCGAGACUAGAGUAGUGGAGAGGGAACCGGAAUUCUCGGUGUAGCAGUGAAAUGCGUAGAUAUCGAGAGGAACACUCGUGGCGAAGGCGGGUUCCUGGACAUUAACUGACGCUGAGGCACGAAGGCCAGGGGAGCGAAAGGGAUUAGAUACCCUUGUAGUC